rnacentral:rRNA from 1 species
ACAGAGGUCUUAAGCGUUGUUCGGAUUCAUUGGGCGUAAAGGGUGCGUAGGUGGCGCGCUAAGUCAGGUGUGAAAUUUCGGAGCUUAACUCCGAAACUGCAUUUGUUACUGGCGUGCUUGAGGACUGGAGAGGAGACUGGAAUUCACGGUGUAGCGGUGAAAUGCGUAGAGAUCGGAAGGAACACCAGUGGCGAAGGCGGCUACCUGGACAAAUACUGACGCUGAGGCGCGAAAGCGUGGGGAGCAAACAGGA